GUAUAAUCACUAAGAGACAGAAACGAAAAAAUGUCCGUUUUUUCAUUUUCUGAGACCGGAAGUGGUCAUCAGGAAGUGUGGAGCCAAACGACAACAAGAUUCUCAGAGGGCGGAGCCAGAGAGCAGUGAUUGGUCAGACCAUAGAUAAUAUAGAAGACAGCGUGCUAGCGUAUCUAAUCUUCUAUAUAUCUAUGGUCGGGACGUCUGGCAGCAUCUCUGGCUGCUGUUGAUUUUGUUUUUGGAGUGAAACACGGUGGAAGCUGAAUUAGUGAGGAUGACUCCUGCUCCUGUCAUCUCUAAGCUCCUCACACAUCUUUACCUGCAGAUGAGGAAAAUCACUCCUGUAGAAUGCAGAUGUUCAGAGGGAGAUGGUGCCACAUCUGGUCCAGCUGAUGGAAGGUCUUGAAGUUCUCUGACUGGCCUGGACUGAAGAUGGUCCUCUCACUGGAUUUAAGGUUCAGAUGCUCAGUAACAAACUCCACCAAUGAACCAACAGGGAAGCUUUAGGUUUAUUAAAUGUUGCUAUGAAGGUAUCGCUGUUUUUCUUUGUGAAUGCAAUGUGCUCCAACUGAAACUUGAAUUAGAACUUAGAAGUAAAUCCUUCCAUCUGAAAGGAUUUAGUUGCAUUAAUAACCUCAUAACAUUUUAAUUUUUAUUCCAGUCUUGGUUGGAAAUAGAAUCUCUGUAUUGAUUCAGGUAAAAACUGAACUUCACAGCAUUUUGGAGCAAAACAACCAGAUGAAAACUGUGAUGGUGUUGGAUUGUCAGACCGUAAUGUUGCAGCUCAAAGCAGCUUUUCUAUCUCAGUUCAUUCUGACAUUCAGCUAUGAAUCAACACAGCAGAUGGUGAUCCAUGCUGUGGAAGUCUCACAUCUCCUGAUUUAAUGGAGCUGCUUUGCACUUUUUACACUGUUUAUUCACCAACACUUUAUUUAAUAAAAGUCCCAUCUAGUUUUUAUGAGGAAUGUGAUGUUUUAAUUUCUCUGUGAAUAACUGCAGUCUAAUGCAACAGCUGGAGUUGUAACAUCUGUCCUGAUGUUGAUCAUGAAGUAUUGAUCAGAAUACUUAUGGUCAGCAGUCAUCCCUGAAGUUUUACAUUAAAAUCUUUACUUGUGUUGUGAACUUUGGUAAGAAGCAGAAACUUUUGCGUUGCCAUGGAUACAUGAGUGUUAAGUUCUGUCCAUGUUUCCAUUUUGGGAAAUGCAGUCCAGUUCCAGAAUGUGGAGGAAUUUAGUCUCACAAUCACAGACAGCAAAUAUUAUCUGAAAGUCGGGUUAUUGUUGUUUAUCAGCACAAUACAAAAAGAUUAAUAUUAGAAAUAUUCCAGUUAAGACUCUAGAAUAUCAUGAUUUAUGUACAUUUCCUCAAUAAUAUGAAUGUUCAGGUUAAGAUUGUACAGUGAUAUUUAUUAUGCAAGUUUAGCUGAUUAAAGUUUACUCUGCACUAAAAUAUUAUUUAAAUUGACAUCAUUAUAAUAUUUAGGGUCAGACCUUACAGUAUUGAGAUUAAGAAAUCAAAUAUUCUAUAAAAUGUAAAUACACUGAACUCAUUUGGAUAUAUUUAAGUGAGACUCUACAAUAUUAUUUGACACAAAUCUAUCUAAAUCAAAAUUUUAAUAAUUUUCACGCCAAACAUUUACUGGACUGAUUUAAAUAUUAAAAUCACUCCUUUCUAAUCCUCUGCUGUACGUUCAAACCUGAGGCCUUAAAUAGAAACACACAAGUAUCUGUUUGAAGGAACUUCUGCAGAGUCCUGGUUCCAGAACAUGAUGAUAAAAUUAUGGACAAACUUUAACAAAAGCUGCCUGAGAGUUUACAGGUUUUUAUGUUAGAUUUCUUCAGUAAUUUAAUGAGUUAUCAGCAAAAAUCAAGUGUUCAUUUGAUGAACUUGAUUUCCUAAAACAUCCAGAAUUGGAGCUCAUAUCUUUGGCAACUGUAAAGUUUCUGCUCCUUCAAAGAUCACAACACAAUGAAUGAAUUCCUAAAACACUCUCAAUGCUGGAGAGUGUUUGUGAUGCUGAAGCAGUGACCAGUUUUUCUGUUUCUUCUCUGGAGAUGCACAAUGAGGGACAUCUGCAGAGACUGAGAAAGAGUCUCACCACAUCCUGACAUGAGGAAAAAGACUUUAUUGAAGACUACAAUGAGAAAAACUAUCAGACAGCAGACGGCUGCAUUCAAGGUGAGCUCUGAACAUUUGAUCUGGAACAGGAAUUCAGUAACGGCAGUAUGAGCUUCAUUUCAGUCUGUAGCUGCUGAAUUCAUGGAUGAAUCAUCUGGCACUAGAGAGGAAGACCAUCAGACAUCCACAUCAGCUGAUGGAGGUCCAAGAGUGUCAUCAAACAAACAACCUACAGAGUGAAGACCUCAAAUCUGAUUGGACGGCCUCCUAUUCAGCCACAUACUGUUAGAUUGUUCCAGAUAAGACAAGUACAAGAUACUUCAGAGCCGUUCUACCACGAGCCUGACAGGAAGAACUCCAACAGCUACUGAAUGUUCCUGUGGUUCCCUCAAGGCUACAGAAGGAGCCCUACGAGGACGAGCCGGUCCACCUGAUGCCGGCCAAUCGCUGCGGUUCAAAGCCAACACCGACUACGUGGACUUCUACUGGACCACACGGAGGCCUUCAAACUGGACCAACAAGUUCACCGACUCGUGGGUCUGAGGACGCUGCCGAGCCUCGGCCCAGCCGGCCUCCUGUCUGUGGGUGUUUGAGUGCUGAGAGGUUUGAGGAUGCAUGUGAAC
ensembl:lncRNA